rnacentral:rRNA from 1 species
UCGAGUUUUGAAAGGGGUUGUAGGCUGGCCUUCCGAGGCAUGUGCACGCCCCGCUCAAUCCACUCUACACCUGUGCACUUACUGUAGGUUUCAGACGGUGAAGCCGAGCCCUUUUAUAUGGGCUUGUGGAAACGUCUGGGCCUGCGUUUAUUACAAACUCUGUAAAGUAUUAGAAUGUGUAUUGCGAUGUAACGCAUUUAUAUACAACUUUCAGCAACGGAUCUCUUGGCUCUCGCAUCGAUGAAGAACGCAGCGAAAUGCGAUAAGUAAUGUGAAUUGCAGAAUUCAGUGAAUCAUCGAAUCUUUGAACGCACCUUGCGCUCCUUGGUAUUCCGAGGAGCACGCCUGUUUGAGUGUCAUGAAAUUCUCAACCUAUAAAUCUUUGCGGGUCUAUAGGAUUGGACUUGGAGGCUUGUCGGCUUUUUGAAGUCGGCUCCUCUCAAAUGCAUUAGCUCGAUUCCUUGCGGAUUGGCUCUCGGUGUGAUAAUUGGUCUACGCCGUGACCGUGAAGCGUUUUGGCGAGCUUCUAACCGUCUCUUAUGAGACAACUUCUUGACAUCUGACCUCA